rnacentral:lncRNA from 1 species
GUGCUCUCUCACCGAAGGGUCGUUCUCGUCGAAAGCAGAACCCCACAGCCUCAGGGGUUGCCUGGGAUCAAGAUGAACACACUGCAGACGAGGACACGAGCCCCACAGGAGCUCUUUGUCCCGCAGGAGACCAGCGGACCCACGUCAGAGAAGAUGCUUGUAUCUUUUCAUGGCUCUUCUCUGAGAAAUGAAGCCACACCACAAUAAGGUCUGGAAGAGGAAGCCGGGAAUGGGAGAUGGCAACAGUCCCUGUCACUGGAAUGCUGGCC